rnacentral:rRNA from 1 species
AAAGAGAACUUGCCCUUCGGGGUAGAUCUCCCACCCUUUGUUUAUUAUACUUUGUUGCUUUGGCGGGCCUGCCUCACGGCUGCCGGCGUAAGCUGGCUCGCGCCCGCCAGAGACCCCUAAACUCUGAAUAUUGUCGUCUGAGUAAUAUAUAAUAGUUAAAACUUUCAACAACGGAUCUCUUGGUUCUGGCAUCGAUGAAGAACGCAGCGAAAUGCGAUAAGUAAUGUGAAUUGCAGAAUUCAGUGAAUCAUCAAAUCUUUGAACGCACAUUGCGCCCCUUGGUAUUCCGAGGGGCAUGCCUGUUCGAGCGUCAUUAUGACCACUCAAGCCUAGCUUGGUAUUGGGGUUCGCGGUCUCGCGGCCCUUAAAAUCAGUGGCGGUGCCAUCUGGCUCUAAGCGUAGUAAUCUAUCUCGCUAUUGGGUCCGGUGGUUGCUUGCCAACAACCCCCAACUUCUAAGGUUGACCUCGGAUCAGGUAGGGAUACCCGCUGAACUUAA